UUCCAAAAAACAAAAAACAAAAAAAACCCCGGGGAAUUUUUGGACUGACGCAGUGCUCAGCUUUUGGACGUUGCGUCGGAAAGUUUCAUGAACCUUAUCACUUAGAGGAAGGAGAAGUCGUAACAAGGUUUCCGUAGGUGAACCUGCGGAAGGAUCAUUC
rnacentral:rRNA from 1 species